AAAUUGAAGUGUUGAUGAAUAACCAAUGUUCUGAAAACCGGUUCGAACCGGCCGGUCAAACCGGUUGAACCAUGAACCGAAAACUAAAGCGGUUCGGACAAUUAGAAAAACCGUAAAAUUAAGAAACCGGCGUUGAAUCGACGAACCGGUCGAUUACCGGUCGGUUGAACCGAACCGGGACCCGGCCAGUUUUUUAGCCGUGCAGCAAAACGCUGCCGUUUUGCGUUUUGUGAAAUGUGAACCCUAAUUCUCCUUUGCCAUUCGCACUUGCGUGUUGCAUCCCAGACUCCCAGUUUCACACGGCCACACCCACAGACCCACACCCACGCACUUCAGCUCCACUCUCAUCAUUCAUCACCGUCACGAUCCGUCGCACUAUCACGUCAGAGAGAGUGAGAGACAGAGAACUCCUGAAGCCCUGAACGCCAUCACGAUUCGUCGCGCCUUCAGCACCGUCGCGCCGUCAGCUCCGUGGCGCCGUUGGGUCCGUCGCGCCGUCAGCUCCGUCGCUCACUCAGCCACUUCGACCAGUCACCUCCGUCGAGCUCUGAGAGAAAGCAAUAGAGUUCGGUUGAAGCGUUGAAGAGGUGAAGCCUGAAGCCUCAAGAGUCAAGGUGCCA